rnacentral:rRNA from 1 species
GAUGAACGCUAGCGGGAGGCCUAACACAUGCAAGCCGAGCGGUAUUGUUUCUUCGGAAAUGAGAGAGCGGCGUACGGGUGCGUAACACGUGUGCAACCUGCCUUUAUCUGGGGGAUAGCCUUUCGAAAGGAAGAUUAAUACUCCAUAAUAUAUUGAACGGCAUCGUUUAAUAUUGAAAGCUCCGGCGGAUAGAGAUGGGCACGCGCAAGAUUAGCUAGUUGGUGAGGUAACGGCUCACCAAGGCGAUGAUCUUUAGGGGGCCUGAGAGGGUGAUCCCCCACACUGGUACUGAGACACGGACCAGACUCCUACGGGAGGCAGCAGUGAGGAAUACUGGUCAAUGGGUGCAAGCCUGAACCAGCCAUCCCGCGUGAAGGACGACUGCCCUAUGGGUUGUAAACUUCUUUUGUAUAGGGAUAAACCUACCCUCGUGAGGGUAGCUGAAGGUACUAUACGAAUAAGCACCGGCUAACUCCGUG